rnacentral:rRNA from 1 species
GACGAACCACACGAACGUUAUUCGGAAUUACUGGGCUUAAAGGGUGCGUAGGCGGCGCGCUAAGUAGGGUGUGAAAUCCCUCGGCUCAACCGAGGAACUGCGCUCUAAACUACCGUGCUUGAGGGAGAUAGAGGUGAGCGGAACUUAGGGUGGAGCGGUGAAAUGCGUUGAUAUCCUAAGGAACACCGGUGGCGAAAGCGGCUCACUGGAUCUUUUCUGACGCUGAGGCACGAAAGCUAGGGUAGCGAACGGG